rnacentral:rRNA from 1 species
UACGGGAGGAGCAGUGGGGAAUAUUGCACAAUGGGCGCAAGCCUGAUGCAGCCAUGCCGCGUGUAUGAAGAAGGCCUUCGGGUUGUAAAGUACUUUCAGUCGUGAGGAAGGUGUUAAGGUUAAUAACCUUAGCAAUUGACGUUAGCGACAGAAGAAGCACCGGCUAACUCCGUGCCAGCAGCCGCGGUAAUACGGAGGGUGCGAGCGUUAAUCGGAAUUACUGGGCGUAAAGGGCACGCAGGCGGUUAAUUAAGUUGGAUGUGAAAUCCCCGGGCUUAACCUGGGAAUGGCAUUCAAGACUGGUUAGCUAGAGUCUUGUAGAGGGGGUAGAAUUCCAUGUGUAACGGUGAAAUGCGUAGAGAUGUGGAGGAAUACCGGUGGCGAAGGCGGCCCCUGGACAAAGACUGACGCUCAUGUGCGAAAGCGUGGGGAGCAAACAGGGAUUAGAUACC